rnacentral:rRNA from 1 species
CGUGGGGGAUAACACUUCGAAAGAAGUGCUAAUACCGCAUACGAUCUGAGGAUGAAAGCGGGGGACCGUAAGGCCUCGCGCGAUCGGAGCGGCCGAUGUCAGAUUAGGUAGUUGGUGGGGUAAAGGCCUACCAAGCCGACGAUCUGUAGCUGGUCUGAGAGGACGACCAGCCACACUGGGACUGAGACACGGCCCAGACUCCUACGGGAGGCAGCAGUGGGGAAUUUUGGACAAUGGGCGCAAGCCUGAUCCAGCAAUGCCGCGUGCAGGAAGAAGGCCUUCGGGUUGUAAACUGCUUUUGUACGGAGCGAAAAGGCUCUCUCUAAUACAGGGGGCUGAUGACGGUACCGUAAGAAU